GCAUCGAUGGUUCAAAGGUAGAAUGCUCGUUUCCCAAUCGAGUGACCCGGGUUCGAUUCCCGAUCGGUGCA
rnacentral:tRNA from 1 species